UUUUUGGAAACACCCAUCCUAUAUAAAACACGCUCAGAGUCCGAAACCCUUAACCAUUUACCCGUCAAGAUCUGCUGCGGAGCACACCAUUUUCUUUGAGAUCAUCAAAACUAACAUCGUUCUUCAUAACAUGGACAUCGAGUUCAGGAGAACGGCACAGGACCCUUUUCUUUAGAAACGGGCGCUUUUACAGCUGGAACUAGUUAUCUAACAGGCACAAGGGUGAACAAACUGAGCAGGAAAACAUUCAGACACCGGGAACACAGAACCCAUUCUUACAACAGAGCCACGCCAGAGAACCGUGCGUGUGCAGAAGCAGGGCCGUCCGGAAUAAUGCACACUACAAGACUGAAAAACAGUACCCCUCCACAUAAUGAUCAGGACACCGAACGAACCCUGGCGUUUUUGGAAUGUUUAAGCAGU
ensembl:lncRNA